rnacentral:rRNA from 1 species
AAGUGGAGCAAUCCAUGAGUAAAGUGGCGUACGGGUGAGUAACACGUGGGUAAUCUACCUUUUGGUGGGGAAUAACCCUGGGAAACCGGGGCUAAUACCGCAUAAGCUCGAAAGAGGAAAAGAGAAAUUUGCCGAAAGAGGAGCCCGCGGCUGAUUAGCUAGUUGGUGAGGUAAAGGCUCACCAAGGCGAAGAUCGGUAGCCGGCCUGAGAGGGCACACGGCCACACUGGCACUGAAACACGGGCCAGACUCCUACGGGAGGCAGCAGUGGGGAAUCUUGCACAAUGGGGGAAACCCUGAUGCAGCGACGCCGCGUGAGCGAUGAAGCCCUUCGGGGUGUAAAGCUCUUUCGGCCCGAACGAUAAUGACGGUACGGGAAGAAGAAGCUGCGGCUAACUACGUGCCAGCAGCCGCGGUAAUACGUAGGCAGCGAGCGUUGUUCGGAGUUACUGGGCGUAAAGCGUGCGUAGGCGGUUUUGUAAGUUUGGUGUGAAAUCUCCCGGCUCAACUGGGAGGGUGCGCCGAAAACUGCAAGGCUGGAGUGUGGGAGAGGUAGGCGGAAUUCCUGGUGUAGCGGUGAAAUGCGUAGAUAUCAGGAGGAACACCUGUGGUGUAGACGGCUUACUGGACCAUGACUGACGCUGAGGCACGAGAGCGUGGGGAGCAAACAGGAUUAGAUACCCUGGUAGUCCACGCCCUAAACGAUGCAUACUUGGUGUAGGCAGUUCAUUCUGUCUGUGCCGGAGCUAACGCGUUAAGU